rnacentral:rRNA from 1 species
UACGAAGGGGGCUAGCGUUGCUCGGAAUCACUGGGCGUAAAGCGCACGUAGGUGGACUCUUAAGUCGGUGGUGAAAUCCUGGAGCUCAACUCCAGAACUGCCUUCGAUACUGAGAGUCUCGAGUCCGAGAGAGGUGAGUGGAACUGCGAGUGUAGAGGUGAAAUUCGUAGAUAUUCGCAAGAACACCAGUGGCGAAGGCGGCUCACUGGCUCGGUACUGACGCUGAGGUGCGAAAGCGUGGGGAGCAAACAGG